GCUGAAGGCGCUUUUGGAAAAACUAUCCGAACAGAUGAAAUACGACUUUACACGAUAAUUUUAUUUUGAUUUACCGAGCUAGUAUGUUGGAAGCUGGAUACUUCGAUGACAGGUGUUUUAUCGCAUGGAAUUGCUCGUUCGUUGACCGGUGUUGAUUGUUAUUCUUUGUCGUUGGUGUUUUUGGAAACGGUUUCUUCGGCUUUGCUGUUCGGUAUCUUCGAUGAUCUUCGGUGGUACUUUCGGUCUCAAGUGUUCGGUGAAUUUUUCAAAAUUGGAUAGAUUUUUGUUCGUCGAUUUGUUCGUUUCUUACUUCCUGCGUUUGCUGAACAGGUGGCGGCAGUGGUAUUACUGGAUGGACAUCUUUUUUUACUUCAAUUUUUGGCCAACGUUUUGCUGGGUACUCGAUGGCGAAGAUUUGCUUAAUUUCCGGAGGUGAGACAUUUAUUUUAUCGUUCCUACCUAUUUCUUGAUGUUUUGCUAUAGGCUUUUCUUCUUUUUUCAGGUGCGGAUCGAGUGAAUUCAUCCAAUCAGCGAAGGAGAACUUUGGUUUUGCAGAUUCGAAGGCAUUACUGCUGGAUGGUUUGGUUACUUUUGGAAUUGGUGGUGGAGCAAUUCGAUUACGAAGUUUAAUACCCUGAGGAAAUACUCGCGCUGGUGAUGAAGAUUUUACUGUUGUUUUAGGUAUUUUGAAGAUUUUUUGUAAUUUUAUUUUUUGAAAAAAUACAACUGAGAGUUCGUG